GGGCACGACACCGGAGAGGGAGCCUGAGAAACGGCUACCACAUCCAAGGAUGGCAGCAGGCGCGCAAAUUACCCAAUCCCGACACGGGGAGGUAGUGACAAUAAAUAACAAUACGGGGUUCUUUCGGAUCUCGUAAUUGGAAUGAGUACAAUUUAAAUCUCUUAACGAGGAACAAUUGGAGGGCAAGUCUGGUGCCAGCAGCCGCGGUAAUUCCAGCUCCAAUAGCGUAUAUUAAAGUUGUUGCAGUUAAAAAGCUCGUAGUUGAAUUUCGGGGUUAGUAGGUUGGUCAUGCCUCUGGUAUGUACUGGUCUCACUGAUUCCUCCUUCCUGAUGAACCGUAAUGCCAUUAAUUUGGUGUUGCGGGGAAUUUGGACUGUUACUUUGAAAAAAUUAGAGUGUUUAAAGCAAGCUAACGCUUGAAUACAUUAGCAUGGAAUAAUGAAAUAGGACGUUCGAUCCUAUUUUGUUGGUUUCUAGGAUUGACGUAAUGAUUAAUAGGGAUAGUUGGGGGCAUUAGUAUUCAAUUGUCAGAGGUGAAAUUCUUGGAUUUAUUGAAGACUAACUACUGCGAAAGCAUUUGCCAAGGAUGUUUUCAUUAAUCAAGAACGAAAGUUAGGGGAUCGAAGACGAUCAGAUACCGUCGUAGUCUUAACCAUAAACUAUGCCGACUAGGGAUCGGAUGAUGUUAAUUUUUUAAU
rnacentral:rRNA from 1 species